CAAUAGCGUAUAUUUAAGUUGCUGCAGUUAAAAAGCUCGUAGUUGGAUUUCGGGUGGGAAUGGCCGGUCCGCCGUUUCGGUGUGCACUUGCUACGCCCACCUUGCUGCCGGGGACGUGCUCUUGAGUUCACGCUCGGGACACGGAGUCGGCGAGGUUACUUUGAGUAAAUUAGAGUGUUCAAAGCAGGCCUACGCUCUGAAUACAUUAGCAUGGAAUAACACGAUAGGACUCUGGCCUAUCUUGUUGGUCUGUAGGACCGGAGUAAUGGUUAAGAGGGACAGUCGGGGGCAUUCGUAUUUCAUUGUCAGGGGUGAAAUUCUUGGAUUUAUGAAAGACGAACUACUGCGAAAGCAUUUGCCAAGGAUGUUUUCAUUAA
rnacentral:rRNA from 1 species